UACGUAGGUGGCAAGCGUUGUCCGGAAUUACUGGGUGUAAAGGGAGCGUAGGCGGGAAAGCAAGUUGAAUGUUUAAGGUACGGGCUCAACCUGUACAAGCGUUCAAAACUGUUUUUCUUGAGUGGAGUAGAGGUAAGCGGAAUUCCUAGUGUAGCGGUGAAAUGCGUAAAUAUUAGGAGGAACACCAGUGGCGAAGGCGGCUUACUGGGCUUUAACUGACGCUGAGGCUCGAAAGCGUGGGUAGCAAACGGG
rnacentral:rRNA from 1 species